rnacentral:misc_RNA from 1 species
UGGUCUCAGUCGUCCGCGACGUUCUGUCCGCGAUACGAUUCGGCGUCAACGUGUCGUGCUCUGGACCCCACCGGUUGCAGCAAGUCGAUAUCUACGCGCCGGUACAGUAACAAAAACCACCCCCCUCCCGAGGAAACCAGUGAUUAAUAAAAUAGACUCGUCAUCGGACAGUGGCAUUGUGCUCCAAAAUCUUAGACUUGAGUAAUUUACGAAUAUAUGACAUAAAUUUGGGACAGUCGCUGAUCGUGGAUGCACAUUAUAAUGAAUGAAUCAUUUAAACAGGUGACUUAGAUAUUAAGUUCCCGAAGGAGGAAAUUAUUAAUCGAUACAAAGGAUAGAUUUUUAUUUCAAACUACCAACGACGAUCACCACGCGGUAUAGAGCAGUGCGAGAGAAUUGCUUCGAAUCGUCUUGAGGAAUAUCUUCCCGGUGUCUUCUGUAAUGUUUAAAUGGUUCAGUAAUCAGUGACGAGCAUCGUUGCAGCGGACUCUUACCGUGUUGGAGCCGCGCCAAAAGAAGUCGCGUACACGGUUGCACCAUCGUUUCAGGUUCCGUGGUCACCACAUGGUCACCACAAUCCGGCCGUGACGUGCGGUUAAAUUUAGAGACUGCCAUCGGAGAAAAUUGACAGUUCCCGGAUUGAGCUAUCGACUGUGAUCAAACAAACGCUCAACGAAAGCCGUCAGGUGCGUCAGAACGCGACGCCGCGGUGGGCCGUUUUGCCUCGAUCGUGGAAUGAUCGACGCGAUAUCGAUCGUGCGCGAGUACUGCUACUCGACAGUCGAGCCGGCUCGAUGCGCGGCUAAGGAAAUCGCGACCGGCGAGGCAUCAAGCGGUAAUCGAUCAAGGUGCUAUCGCGCGAAAGCCGCAGUCAAGGGGCACAUGAUGAUGUAAGGUGCCUGGACACGGUGCUACGAAGACCGAAAUGACGCGCGAUAAAAGGCUAGUGCUGCUGCUGGGCCUGCUGAUGGCCUAUGGCCUCUUCGUGGCCGAAUGCCGAUAUCAUCAGCGCGAUGACGCGGCGAUGACGGGGACCGAGGCGAGACACCGACAUAGGCACAGGCACGAAUCCUCGAAUCGAAGGAAUCAUCACGACCUCGACAGGAGAUCCUGGCCGAGAGUCGACUAUGACGCGUAUGACGGAGAUUCCGAGGAUCCGAUCGACGAAGAAGAUUAUGACGUGCAAUCGUAUUACGAUCAUCUCAGAUCGCAUCAUCGAUCCGCGCAGAGGGGUUAUCACGGUCGAAAGUUUGAGCCGCGUUAUCCGGCCAGAUAUCACGAUGGACAUCGCGGAAGCUGGUUCGAUGAAGACUACGACAGGUAUAGAAUUCCGUCGCGAUAUAACACGAAGAAUUAUCGAUAUAAAUCCGGCAGGACCUAUCAUAAACCCGCGUAUUCGCGCAAUCACGACGUGUCGGAUUUCGAGAAUGUUUCGGAGGAUGAUUACGAUUACGAGAGGACGCACAGAUACAUCGAAAGUGACGAGGCUGAUAAACAUCACGAGUGGUGGAGAAACUCCAGGCGACACGCGUCCCUCAGGAAAGACAUGAGAAAUAGAAUGAAUGGUUAUCGUGGCGCAAAGAAGGACCGCUUGGAGGAUCGCGGAGGCAUCACCGAUCGUGCCGAUGUGUCUGGAUGGACGGAUGAUUGGAGAGUAAGAUUGAACAUCUCGGAGCCUAAAUAUCACUCCUCGAAGAACGAUAAGAAGAUAGAGGAAGAUGAAGAUUACGAGGAUCACGGUGGACUCGAGGAAGACGACAAAGACGAAGAAGAAGAUGACAUUUGGAAAAAUGCCGAUGAUGAAGACAACGAAGAUAACGAAGAGGAGGAAUUUGAUAAUGAUUUCUAUGAGAGCAAGGCCAAAUCACCCUUGAAGACCUAUGAAGACAUUAUCAGGAGACUCACGUCUGGCGAACCGACCACUCCGAGACCUACCGUCAAGAGGGAUUACCGCAACAUCGAAACAUUGAAUAAGCACGCGAAACGUGACAGUUACAAGAAUUUCAACGAACCGAGAAAUGUCUCCAAACCGGUGGAUCUCCUCAGAUUCAGUAACGCGUCUCGCAGCGCCAUGUCCAAUUAUUUCGUGAACAGACGGGCCGCGAAGAACUCGACCGUCAAAUCCGUUGGUUCGAUCGGACAUAAGCUCCCGAAGAACGCGACCGACGUGACGGUCAAGGGCAACGAUCGGCAAGAGAAAAAGAUCGCGGUCAGUACUAAGACCAAGAGCCUCGAGGAUUACGACGAAUAUCUGAAUGCUCCGGAUAACGAGAAGGAGGACGACCUCGCUAAAGCUGGUACUGAGGACGAUUCGAUCAUGCAAGCAGAUGUUAAUAAUGAUUAUACGGACGACGAAAACGGCGACGAGGACGAGACUACCCUCGCCACGUCGACGACCACCACGACCACGACCACGACGACCACGACGACUACGACGCCGAAACCGUCGAUCAAUCAACGCUACGAUUACAGGGACCAGAGAGCCUACGAAAGCGGCACCGGGGCACAGUACAACGAAUACCAAGCAAAAAACGACUAUCCACCGAUGUCUGCACACAGCAUACAUAAGUGGCAGUCGCUAGGCACUCGCGAGAGUGUCAAACAAACCAGGGGUAACAUGCAGCAACACACCAAAAAUGACCUCGAACGUGGCCGGCGUCAGCGUAGUGGAGAAGCUAUCGUUCUACAAUCAUACGGAAUGCCAAUGCGAGAAGAAGUCCCAGUACAACAUGAUAAACGAGAAACCCAUGGAUCAGAGAGUAUAUCGACACUCUUCGUCGCCUCCACAAAACAUAAAAAAACCACCGUUGAAAGAGCCAUGCCGAUGCCCAUCAGAAUUCACGCCGAAAAUCACGCUGGAAGGCACUUGUCAGUGUAAUUGCUUCGACAAGAAUCAAAAUUGUAUAAGGAUCAGACGCGGAAAGGGAUUUUUCUCCUUUACAGACAGAAUAUGCAUUCAGAAAAAUCGAUGUGCCAUGCCUAACUGCGAAUUCGGCGAGUACAUAAGUUUAUCAGGUAAAUGCCCAGAAAAAAGGGACACCUUCAACGCAAUGUCAGACUACCGCUCGAAUCUAAAACACCGAUUAAGGAGUUAAAAAAAUCGCGAUAAAUAUAUAUACCGAAU